rnacentral:rRNA from 1 species
UACGAGUGCGUCGAGCGUUAUCCGGAAUCAUUGGGCGUAAAGGGUGCGUAGGCGGCGCGGUAAGUCGGGUGUGAAAUCUCGGAGCUUAACUCCGAAACUGCAUUCGAUACUGCCGUGCUUGAGGACUGGAGAGGAGACUGGAAUUUACGGUGUAGCGGUGAAAUGCGUAGAUAUCGUAAGGAAGACCAGUGGCGAAGGCGGGUCUCUGGACAGUUCCUGACGCUGAGGCACGAAGGUCAGGGGAGCAAACGGG